CCUACGGGAGGCAGCAGUGGGGAAUAUUGCACAAUGGUCGCAAGCCUGAUGCAGCCAUGCCGCGUGUAUGAAGAAGGCCUUCGGGUUGUAAAGUACUUUCAGCGAGGAGGAAGGCGUUAAGGUUAAUAACCUUGGCGAUUGACGUUACUCGCAGAAGAAGCACCGGCUAACUCCGUGCCAGCAGCCGCGGUAAUACGGAGGGUGCAAGCGUUAAUCGGAAUUACUGGGCGUAAAGCGCACGCAGGCGGUCUGUUAAGUCAGAUGUGAAAUCCCCGGGCUCAACCUGGGAACUGCAUUUGAAACUGGCAGGCUUGAGUCUUGUAGAGGGGGGUAGAAUUCCAGGUGUAGCGGUGAAAUGCGUAGAGAUCUGGAGGAAUACCGGUGGCGAAGGCGGCCCCCUGGACAAAGUCUGACGCUCAGGUGCGAAAGCGUGGGGAGCAAACAGGAUUAGAUACCCGUGUAGUC
rnacentral:rRNA from 1 species